rnacentral:rRNA from 1 species
GACGAACGCUGGCGGCGUGCUUAACACAUGCAAGUCGAACGGGCCUUGUCCCCUUUUUUUUGGGGGUGGGGUUAGUGGCGAACGGGUGAGUAACACGUGAGUAACCUGCCCCUCACUUCUGGAUAACCGCUUGAAAGGGUGGCUAAUACGGGGUGUUCUGGCCUGCUCGCAUGGGUGGGUUUGGAAAGAUUCGACCGGUUUUGGUUGUUUUGGUGGGGGAUGGGCUCGCGGCCUAUCAGCUUGUUGGUGGGGUGAUGGCCUGCCAAGGCUUUGACGGGUAGCCGGCCUGAGAGGGUGGGCGGUCACACUGGGACUGAGACACGGCCCAGACUCCUGCGAGGGGCAGCAGUGGGGAAUAUUGCACAAGGGGCGCACGCCGGAUGCAGCGACGCCGCGUGAGGGAUGGAGGCCUUCGGGUUGAGAACCUCUUUCGCCAGUGAAGAAGGUCCUGCUCUUUGUGGUGGGGUUGACGGUAGCUGGGUUAAUGAAGCGCCGGCUAACUACGUG